CAAGCAUCUAGGAUAAGGGAGGCCAAACCUAUAUUAUGUUUAACAUAGUUCUCUCUCUCUUUUUUAGGUCAUUUAAAUUUACUCAUCAAUUGGCCAAUGUAUAGAAAGAGAUGACUGUUUUAAGGAGAGCUUGAAGGUGAUGUACUUUCUGGGUCCUUGCAUAGUUUGAGAAUGCCUUUCAGUUAACAUCACACAUAAGUGACACUUUGGCUGGAUACGGUAUUCCAUUGCCGGUUCACUGUUUUGGAGCAGGGUGCUGAAGAGAAGUCUGUUCAUUCUUUUUGCCACUUUAUCAGCUCUGGCCUUGAUCCCAAAGGCGCUGCAUGGUCCAAUGUGGCUGCCCCAGCUCCAGUCAUCGCAUCACCAGCUCAUUUCAGACAGCAAGAGCAAGGAAAGGAGAAUAAGUACUGGGCUAAAUGCUUCAAAGACACUCCUCAAAAGGGCUUUGACAGAAAUGUUGUUCCUGGCUUGGGAGAUGCAGUGCAGAAUGGCUUUUCACAUGCCAUGGCCCAUUCCCUUGCCUUCCUCCACCAUAAUGGAGGAGCAAGGAGAGCAGCCUUCCCAUCCUUCCUUGCAGCUGUGGAGGACCAUGUGACAGAUUCUGACCAAUGAGAUACAAGCUGAAGUUUCUUCUCCUCUGGAGAAAAUAGCAAAGCCUUAUUCAGAAGGAUUGGUCUUGUCUGCCUUCUACCUGCCUGGAACUCAGACACAAAGCCCAGAGGAGCAGCAUGAGGAAGAAAGUUCUUUAGAAAAGGAAUUUAAAAAGAACCUGAGUCCUUGAUCUCUCUCCUGAGCCAUUCCACCAGCCCUGGACUUUAGACCCCCAGACACCUGGUUGUGUGAGAUGAAUAUCAUCCUUUUUAGUUAAGUUUGGUAGUUGAAUGCUCCGUAACUUACAGCCAUGUACUAGCAAAUGCAUAGCUCUUUGUCAUGUAAGUGUCACAGGAUCCUUCGGGUGUUGCCUUUCCAACCAGAUACCUCCGUGGCCUUUACCCAAGUUUUGCUAGGGCCCACUGGACUCAUUCUGCCCACUUAGCCUGGCAGGCUGCACCCAGCUCAUGCUACCAGCCCAGAUCCCAUGCCUGCCAAGGGUGAGCCAGGUGGUGUGAUGCUGCAAGGGGUGUGUGAGUAAAUGAUCACAGAAAUAAUAGGACAUUUUCAACUUGAGUGCUGUUGUAUUUGAGGUUCUCUUUUAAUGUACAAUUUUCUACCAGA
rnacentral:lncRNA from 1 species